UAUUGAAAAAAGCGCGAGUUACACAUGGAGGUUGGAGUCUGAUUCUCCCACAGCCAUGAAGUGGUUAAUGGUCAAAUUUUCAUACAUGAUGCAAACACGACCUUUUUAGUUAGGGAAUUUGCAACGGAGGAUCUUCCUAGAAAUAGAAGAAAAGUUACAAGCCAAAAAAUAUGCCGAAUGUGGAGGAUAUCCAAUAAAACCGGUUGAACAGCAGGGGGUAGGGGGUGUCCUAUGUGGCUCCUUAAGAUAGCAAAUGAUAUUUGCACAAUUAGAUUCAACUACGAGAAAGUCAGCACCAUAAGAGUUGGAUUCAAGAAGCCUAUACAAGGAAUUCCGAUUGGGCAUGGUGGCUGCUUCAAUGACAUGUGUGGGCAACUAUUGCUUCCGACCAAAGACAUAGUCAUUACGGGCUAGCCACAUGAAUGAAUGAGCACAUGCCAAUGGCUUCCCUCUUUUGAGCUUUAUUAAGUCCCUGCCACUACGACCAACUGUCCACCUGGCAAAAUAUGCUACCAUCGGGGGCAUACCACCCGAACUGAACGGGGCAGCAGGCACAAGCGUUGAAGGCACCAAUACGAGCCCAGACAAACGGUCUGGUCUUGACCGAACUAUAUAUCUGGUCUACAGCUGAUACCUAGGUCAGGAGUAGCCUAACCAAUCGGCAAUAUUGAAGAGGGUCAAUUACUGAGCGGCUCGUCAGCAGUAGCAUAUGAAAGGCAGCGUGUGUUGGCAGUUGUGUCAUAUCCGAACAAGUAAUAGCUCAAGACAACACCAGAACCAUGACCGCACGGCAGACCCAAGGUUGCACCUUCAACCAAGCUGCAAGCAACAUAAGCAAUCGGUCGCUCGGAUAAGUAGGUCGGCAACCAAACCACAUGAUCCAGGUUGCUCGGCAUAUGAGGCCCAUGGGUUUCCCCAUGAGAUAUACCCUCUUAAGGGACAUUCCUGAUCUAACACAUGAUUUACAGGCAAGGAGUGGACUUAUCCUAAUCAAGAAAGGACUCAAGAGGAGAUCGAAUCCUCCCUAGAAGGAAGGAUCUCUCAUGAUAUCCCCCGAAAUACAUGGAAAUGUGGAGCUCCCAUAAUUGGAUGUUCUCCCUAUUCGCUCUCCUAAUAUAACUCUUACCAUAUACGACUUCUACUAGCAUUAGGAAACUACCGGAUUGGGCCUCUCUUCAUGGCUGUCAUCCCUCAGCUAUAAAUACACAAGUUCCACAAAAUGCCUAAGAUGCUUUCUUGCCACAACAUCAUCCACUUAUGAAUUGUGAAAGAUGUAUCUUCAUGGGGUUUAAAAGAUAAGGAUGACCCAAACCAUCAGGCUCGGUUUUUUUAGUACAGUCUAUUGCUUGUUAGUGCAUUGUAAUGUCUGGAGUAGUACUACUUAUUAACAGACAUACACGGAACACAUGCCAAUUCAAGGGAUUGAUAAUUGAAUUAGACUUUGAUGGCA